GGGGUUGUAGCUCAGUGGCAGAGUACUUGCCUAACACGUGUGAGGCCCUGGGUUCAAUCCUCAGCAUUAUCA
rnacentral:tRNA from 1 species